GGGGGAUAAAUUAAUUAAAUAUAAAUAAUAAAAAAAAUUUUAAUAUUAAUAAUAUAUGGGGUUAAAGUAUUUUUAAUAGAAAAAAUUUUUAUUUUUAUAGUAAAUUUAUACUGUAGGGGAGUUUUAAAAUAAAUGAAAAAAAAAUUAUUAAAAAGUAAAUUUGAAUUAUUGUAUCUUGUGUAUCAGAGUUUAUUAAUAAAAAUAUUAAAUAAUUAAUUCUCGAAUUUAAAAGAGCUAAUUAAUUAAUAAAUUUAAUGUUGAAAAAUUAUUUUAAAUAAUUAAUUAGAAAUGAAAUGUUAAUCGUUUUUAAAAAUAUCUAGUUUUUUCAGAAAAAAAUUUAAUUUAAAAUAAAAAUAAUUUUAUUAAUUAAUUUAAUAAUUAUAAAAAUUUUUAUUUUAAUAUUUUAGGGGAUAAGCUUUAAAAUAAAUUUUUAUAAUUUAUUAAUAUAUUAAAUUAAAAUUUAUAAAAUUUAUAUUGUUUAUAAAUUAUAAUUUUUUAUAAAAAAUUUUAUUUUAAAUAAAAUUUUAUAUAAAUUUAAAUUUUUAUGAAAAAAUAAUUUUUAAUAAUAAAAAUUUAGAUAUAAUGAUAAAAUUAGUAUAUGAUAUAAAAUAAAAAAAAUUAAUAAGAUAAUAAUUAAGUUAAAGGAAUUCGGCAAAUAUAUAUAUUCACUUGUUUACCAAAAACAUGUCUUUUUGAUAAUAAUUUAAAGUCUAAUCUGCCCACUGAUAAUAAAAUUAAAGGGCUGCAGUAUAUUGACUGUACAAAGGUAGCAUAAUCAUUAGUCUUUUAAUUGAAGACUUGUAUGAAAGAUUUGAUGAAAUAUAAACUGUCUCUAAUUUAUUUAUAAAAUUUAAUUUUUUAGUUAAAAAGCUAAAAUAAAAUUAAAAGACGAGAAGACCCUAUAGAGUUUUAUAUAUUGAUUAAUUAAGAUUAAUUAUAAAAUUAUAUAUUUAAAUUAAUUAAUAUAUUAUGUUGGGGUGAUAAAAAAAUUAAAAUAACUUUUUUUUUAAAAAAACAUAAAUAAAUGAUUAAUUGAUCCAUUAAUAAUGAUUAUAAGAGAAAAUUACCUUAGGGAUAACAGCGUAAUAUUUUUUUUUAGUACAAAUAAAAAAGAAAGUUUGCGACCUCGAUGUUGGAUUAAGAUAAAAUUUAAAUGCAAAAGUUUAAAAUUUUUGAUCUGUUCGAUCAUUAAAAUCUUACAUGAUCUGAGUUCAAACCGGUGUAAGCCAGGUUGGUUUCUAUCUUUAAUUAAUAAGUAAUAUUUUAGUACGAAAGGAUCAAAUAUUAAAAAUAAUUUUUAAAAUUGAAUAUUAAUAAAUUAAUUAA
rnacentral:rRNA from 1 species